rnacentral:tRNA from 2 species
GGCUCAAUGGUCUAGCGGUAUGAUUCCUGCUUUGGGUUCGCUCAGCUUGCAGGAGGUCCCGGGUUCAAUCCCCGGUUGAGCCC